rnacentral:rRNA from 1 species
UACAGAGGUCUCAAGCGUUGUUCGGAUUCAUUGGGCGUAAAGGGUGCGUAGGCGGCGCGGUAAGUCGGAUGUGAAAUCUCGGGGCUUAACUCCGAAACUGCAUUCGAUACUGCCGUGCUUGAGGACUGGAGAGGAGACUGGAAUUUACGGUGUAGCGGUGAAAUGCGUAGAUAUCGUAAGGAAGACCAGUGGCGAAGGCGGGUCUCUGGACAGUUCCUGACGCUGAGGCACGAAGGCCAGGGGGAGCAAAACGGGG